rnacentral:lncRNA from 1 species
GCAGAAUUAAUCGUUUCGUUAAGAAACUAUGUAAAACAAGAAAGAGAUGUUGAAUGGAUAUUAAAUUAUUUUAUUAUGUUUUUUUUUUAACCUAGUACCCACAAGAGAGCAAAUAAACUCUCUCUCCCUUCUUGUUGGCGACUCUUACCCCUUUUUCUUUCUCCUAUUUUUUCUUUUUCUUUGUGGAGUAUAUUUUAGAGUCACCCAUUUAUUGUUUAAACCCUUCUCUUGCAUAUUCAUGAGAAGAUUCAAAAGUAGGACAACCAUGCUUCCCAAAUUUUUUAUUUUUUUUGGAAUGUAACCAACGGCUACUCUUCUUUUUUUUAGAAGAAUGAAGUGUUUGUCUGCUGAUUUGUUUGCUGCAAGUGAAGAUAAUCUUAUCUUGUAAGAUACCAUUGUCCCAUGGGACAAAAACAAGGUAAUCAAUCAAGCUCACGAUUCAUGACAGUGAUUAUUGUGUUGAUGAAUA